GACAGAGGGUGCAAACGUUGUUCGGAAUUACUGGGCGUAAAGGGCGCGUAGGCGGCCAGCGCAAGUCAGUUGUGAAAUCUCCGGGCUUAACUCGGAAAGGUCAACUGAUACUGCGCGGCUAGAGUGCGGAAGGGGCAACUGGAAUUCUCGGUGUAGCGGUGAAAUGCGUAGAUAUCAAGAGGAACACCUGCGGCGAAGGCGGGUUGCUGGGCCAACACUGACGCUGAGGCGCGAAAGCCAGGGGAGCGAACGGG
rnacentral:rRNA from 1 species